GCGAUGGUGGCGGAAUUGGUAGACGCGCUAGCUUCAGGUGUUAGUGUCCUUCGGAUGUGAGGGUUCGAGUCCCUCCCUUCGCA
rfam:Rahnella aquatilis CIP 78.65 = ATCC 33071, complete genome.